rnacentral:rRNA from 1 species
UAAUACGAAGGGAGCUAGCGUUGUUCGGAAUGACUGGGCGUAAAGGGCGCGUAGGCGGUUUUAUAAGUCAGAUGUGAAAGCCUUGGGCUUAACCUGAGAAUAGCAUUUGAGACUGUAAGACUAGAGGACGAGAGAGGAAAGUGGAAUUACGAGUGUAGAGGUGAAAUUCGUAGAUAUUCGUAAGAACACCAGUGGCGAAGGCGGCUUUCUGGCUCGUAUCUGACGCUAAGGCGCGAAAGCGUGGGGAGCAAACAGG